rnacentral:rRNA from 1 species
AUGCACUACGGUGCAGAAGUAGUUGAUGCCCUGCUUCCAGGAAAAUCCUCUAAGCUCCAGGUAACAUUAAAUCGUACCCCAAACCGACACAGGUGGUCAGGUAGAGAAUACCAAGGCGCUUGAGAGAACUCGGGUGAAGGAACUAGGCAAAAUGGUGCCGUAACUUCGGGAGAAGGCACGCUGGCAUGUAGGUGAAGUCCCUUGCGGAUGGAGCUGAAGCCAGUCGAAGAUACCAGCUGGCUGCAACUGUUUAAUAAAAACACAGCACUGUGCAAACACGAAAGUGGACGUAUACGGUGUGACGCCUGCCCGGUGCUGGAAGGUUAAUUGAUGGGGUCAGCCGCAAGGCGAAGCUCUUGAUCGAAGCCCCAGUAAACGGCGGCCGUAACUAUAACGGUCCUAAGGUAGCGAAAUUCCUUGUCGGGUAAGUUCCGACCUGCACGAAUGGCGUAAUGAUGGCCAGGCUGUCUCCACCCGAGACUCAGUGAAAUUGAACUCGCUGUGAAGAUGCAGUGUACCCGCGGCAAGACGGAAAGACCCCGUGAACCUUUACUAUAGCUUGACACUGAACAUUGAGCCUUGAUGUGUAGGAU